CGGUGAGUAACGUCACCUUUCCUACGGGACAGGCAAGACAGGUGGUGCAUGGUUUUCGUCAGCUCGUGUCGUGAGAUGUUGGGUUAAGUCCCGCAACGAGCGCAACCCCUGUCCUCAGUAGCCAGCGGAAGAGCCGGGCACUCUGGGGAGACAGCCGGGGAUAACCCGGAGGAAGGCGGGGAUGACGUCAAAUCAUCAUGCCCCUUAUGAUUUGGGCUACACACGUGCUACAAUGGUGGUAACAAAGUGAAGCGAGCCAGUGAUGGGGAGCCAAGCACAGAAAAGCCAUCCCAGUUCGGAUUGCAGUCUGCAACUCGACUGCAUGAAGCUGGAAUCGCUAGUAAUCGCGGAUCAGAAUGCCGCGGUGAAUACGUUCCCGGGCCUUGUACACUCCGCCCGU
rnacentral:rRNA from 1 species